rnacentral:tRNA from 1 species
AUCUAAAUAGUUUAAUUAAAAUAUUAACUUGUGGAGUUAAAGAAACAUUUCAUGUUUUGGAUA